rnacentral:rRNA from 1 species
GAUGAACGCUGGCGGCGUGCCUAAUACAUGCAAGUCGAGCGAACAGACGAGGAGCUUGCUCCUCUGACGUUAGCGGCGGACGGGUGAGUAACACGUGGAUAACCUACCUAUAAGACUGGGAUAACUUCGGGAAACCGGAGCUAAUACCGGAUAAUAUAUUGAACCGCAUGGUUCAAUAGUGAAAGACGGUUUUGCUGUCACUUAUAGAUGGAUCCGCGCCGCAUUAGCUAGUUGGUAAGGUAACGGCUUACCAAGGCAACGGUGCGUAGCCGACCUGAGAGGGUGAUCAGCCACACUGGAACUGAGACACGGUCCAGACUCCUACGGGAGGCAGCAGUAGGGAAUCGUCCGCAAUGGGCGAAAGCCUGACGGAGCAACGCCGCGUGAGUGAUGAAGGUCUUCGGAUCGUAAAACUCUGUUAUUAGGGAAGAACAAAUGUGUAAGUAACUAUGCACGUCUUGACGGUACCUAAUCAGAAAGCCACGGCUAACUACGUG